UGUUCUGGCCUCUCUCUGGUUAGAGGAGUAGUGUUCUGGUCUCUCUCUCUGGUUAGAGGAGUAGUGUUCUGGUCUCUCUCUCUGGUUAGAGAAGUAGUGUUCUGGUCUCUCUCUCUGGUUAGAGGAGUAGUGUUCUGGUCUCUCUCUCUGGUUAGAGGAGUAGUGUUCUGUUCUCUCUUCCCAGUAAAACUCUGGUUAGAGGAGAGAGUGUUCUGGUCUCUCUCUCUCUGGUUAGAGGAGUAGUGUUUGGUCUCUCUCUCUGGUUAGAGAGAGUAGUGUUCUGGUCUCUCUGGUAGAGAAGUAUGUUCUGGCCUCUCUCUGGUUAGAGGAGUAGUGUUCUGGUCUCUCUCUUUGUUUAGAGGAGUAGUUUUCUGGUCUCUCUCUCUGGUUAGAGAAGGAGUGUUCUUGCCUCCUCUCUGGUUAGAGGAGGAAGUGUUCUGGUCUCUCUCUCUGGUUAGAGGAGUAGUAGUGUUCUGGUCUCUCUCUGGUUAGAGGAGUGGUUCUGGUCUCUCUUCCCAGUAAAACUCUGGUUGAGAGUAGUGUUCUGGUCUCUCUCUCUGGUUAGAGAAGUAGGUUCUGGCCUCUCUCUCUGGUUAGAGUAGAGGGUAGUGUUCUGGUCUCUCUCUCUGGUUAGAGGAGUAGUGUUCUGGUCUCUCUCUCUGGUUAGAGAAGUGUGUUCUGGCCUCGCUCUCUGGUUAGAGGAGUAGUGUUCUGGUCUCUCUCUCUGGUUAGAGGAGUGUUUCUGGUCUCUCUCUCUGUUAGAGGGUAAGUGUUCGGACUCUCUCUCUGGUUAGAGGAGUAGUGUUCUGGUCUCUCUCUCUGGUUAGAGAAGUAGUGUUCUGGUCUUCUCUCUGGUUAGAGAGUAGUGUUCUGGUCCUCUUCUUGGUCGAGGAGUAGUGUUCUGGUCUCUCUCUGGUUAGUGAGGAGUAGUGUUCUGGUUCUCU
ensembl:lncRNA